GUGUGUGAACCCAUUCCUGUUUACAUCCCACCCAGAUCUCCACCUCAGAGCAGAGGAAUUUUCCACAGCUUCAAAACCGUAAGGGGCCAGUGGCAGGCUGAACAAACGCUACCAACUGAAGGAAAUGGCGCAUCCACUCCACAUCACGGGUUUUAGAGGAAUACGGGGCAAGUUCUUUGAAGCCGAGAGAGGGUGGUUCGGCAGGAAAGCAGGGGUCUUCAAACAGGUAGCCCCCUUCCAAACACUCCUGUUUGAGGGCCUCAAAAUCCUGGUUCUGGAAG